rnacentral:rRNA from 1 species
GAAGGGGGCGAGCGUUGUUCGGAAUCACUGGGCGUAAAGAGUGCGUAGGCGGUUAUGAAAGUUAGAAGUGAAAGCCCAGGGCUCAACCUUGGAAUCGCUUUUAAAACUACAUAACUCGAAUUCGGGAGAGGAUAGCGGAAUUGUCAGUGUAGCAGUGAAAUGCGUAGAUAUUGACAGGAACACCAGUGGCGUAAGCGGCUAUCUGGACCGACAUUGACGCUGAGGCACGAAAGCGUGGGGAUCAAACAGGAUUAGAUACCCUGGUAGUCCACGCCGUAAACGAUGUGUGUUUGUCGCUGGGGAGUUUACUCUUCGGUGACGGAGCUAACGCAUUAAGCACACCGCCUGGGAAGUACGGUCGCAAGAUUA